rnacentral:lncRNA from 1 species
CACUACAUGCUGCUAGGUGUCACUAGUGGAUGGUGAGACUUACAGGGAAUAUCUUGAUGAUCGAUAAAUCCUAAUGAGUUGAGUUGGAACUGUUCCAUCCCAUUGAAAGAAGUUUUCAAUGAUAUUGUGAUAGAGAUCGCAAUAUAUCUCACUACCAGACAGAAUAGAACCUAUGGGGUCACACACACUAGAGAUAUUGACCGAUCCGAUGGUUGAAAAGUGAUUAUGAAUCGCAAGUAAUCAAUUCGAUUGAUAAUCAGUAGAAGAAGGAACAAUGGGAAUUAAUUAAUUG